GGAAGGAUCAUUACUGAAUUGUCAACACGAGUUGUUGCUGGUCCCCAAAUGGGGGCACGUGCACGCUCUGUUCGCACAUCCAUUCACACCUGUGCACCCCAUGUAGUUCUAUGGUUUGGGGGACUCUCCCUCUGCUGUGGUUCUAUAUCUUUACACACACUCUGUAAUAAAGUCUUAUGGAAUGUAUGCAGCGUUUAACGCAAUACAAUACAACUUUCAGCAACGGAUCUCUUGGCUCUCGCAUCGAUGAAGAACGCAGCGAAAUGCGAUAAGUAAUGUGAAUUGCAGAAUUCAGUGAAUCAUCGAAUCUUUGAACGCACCUUGCGCCCUUUGGCUAUUCCGAAGGGCAUGCCUGUUUGAGUAUCAUGAACACCUCAACUCUCAUGCUUUGCCAUGAUGAGCUUGGACUUUGGGGGUCUUGCUGGCCUGUGGUCAGCUCCUCUCAAAUGAAUCAGCUUUCCAGUGUUUGGUGGCAUCACAGGUGUGAUAAAUAUCUACACUUGUGGUUUCCUGCCAAGUAACCUUCAGCAAUGGGGGUUUGCUGGAGCUCAUAAAUGUCUCUCCUCAGCGAAGACAGCUUUGUAAAUGUUUGAUCUCAAAUCAGG
rnacentral:rRNA from 1 species